UACGUAGGGGGCAAGCGUUGUCCGGAUUUAUUGGGCGUAAAGAGCGUGUAGGCGGCCAGACAGGUCCGUUGUGAAAACUCGAGGCUCAACCUCGAGACGCCGAUGGAAACCGUCUGGCUAGAGUCCGGAAGAGGAGAGUGGAAUUCCUGGUGUAGCGGUGAAAUGCGCAGAUAUCAGGAAGAACACCCGUGGCUAAGGCGGCUCUCUAGUACGGUACUGACGCUGAGACGCGAAAGCGUGGGGGACGAACAGG
rnacentral:rRNA from 1 species